AACGAACGCUGGCGGCAGGCUUAACACAUGCAAGUCGAACGCCCCGCAAGGGGAGUGGCAGACGGGUGAGUAACGCGUGGGAAUCUACCCAAUUCUACGGAACCACAGUUGGAAACGACUGCUAAUACCGUAUACGCCCUACGGGGAAAGAUUUAUCGGAAUUGGAUGAGCCCGCGUUGGAUUAGCUAGUUGGUGGGGUAAAGGCCUACCAAGGCGACGAUCCAUAGCUGGUCUGAGAGGAUGAUCAGCCACAUUGGGACUGAGACACGGCCCAAACUCCUACGGGAGGCAGCAGUGGGGAAUAUUGGACAAUGGGCGCAAGCCUGAUCCAGCCAUGCCGCGUGAGUGAUGAAGGUCUUAGGAUUGUAAAGCUCUUUCACCGGAGAAGAUAAUGACGGUAUCCGGAGAAGAAGCCCCGGCUAACUUCGUGCCAGCAGCCGCGGUAAUACGAAGGGGGCUAGCGUUGUUCGGAAUUACUGGGCGUAAAGCGCACGUAGGCGGAUAUUU
rnacentral:rRNA from 1 species